GACGAACGCUGGCGGCGUGCCUAAUACAUGCAAGUCGAGCGAAGUUUUUCUGGUGCUUGCACUAGAAAAACUUAGCGGCGAACGGGUGAGUAACACGUAAAGAACCUGCCUCAUAGACUGGGACAACUAUUGGAAACGAUAGCUAAUACCGGAUAACAGUAUUUCUCGCAUGAGAGAUAUUUAAAAGUUGGUUAUGCUAACACUAUGAGAUGGCUUUGCGGUGCAUUAGCUAGUUGGUGGGGUAGAGGCCCACCAAGGCGACGAUGCAUAGCCGACCUGAGAGGGUGAUCGGCCACACUGGGACUGAGACACGGCCCAGACUCCUACGGGAGGCAGCAGUAGGGAAUCUUCCGCAAUGGGCGAAAGCCUGACGGAGCAACGCCGCGUGAGUGAAGAAGGAUUUCGGUUCGUAAAGCUCUGUUGUUAGGGAAGAAUGGAUAUGUAGUAACUAUACAUGUAAGAGACGGUACCUAACCAGAAAGCCACGGCUAACUACGU
rnacentral:rRNA from 1 species